rnacentral:rRNA from 1 species
GAGUAACACGUGAGUAACCUGCCCUGGACUUUGGGAUAACCCUCGGAAACGGGGGCUAAUACCGGAUACGACACACUGACGCAUGUUGUGUGUGUGGAAAGUUUUUCGGUCUGGGAUGGGCUCGCGGCCUAUCAGCUUGUUGGUGGGGUGAUGGCCUACCAAGGCGACGACGGGUAGCCGGCCUGAGAGGGCGACCGGCCACACUGGGACUGAGACACGGCCCAGACUCCUACGGGAGGCAGCAGUGGGGAAUAUUGCACAAUGGGCGGAAGCCUGAUGCAGCGACGCCGCGUGAGGGAUGACGGCCUUCGGGUUGUAAACCUCUUUCAGCAGGGACGAAGCGUAAGUGACGGUACCUGCAGAAGAAGCGCCGGCCAACUACGUGCCAGCAGCCGCGGUAAGACGUAGGGCGCGAGCGUUGUCCGGAUUUAUUGGGCGUAAAGAGCUCGUAGGCGGCUUGUCGCGUCGACCGUGAAAACUUGGGGCUCAACCCCAAGCCUGCGGUCGAUACGGGCAGGCUC